UGCAAGUCGAGGGGCAGCAUGAACUUAGCUUGCUAAGUUUGAUGGCGACCGGCGCACGGGUGCGUAACGCGUAUCCAACUUGCCCUUGGUCCCGGGGAUAGCCUCGCGAAAGCGAGAAUAAUACCCGGUGUAGCCACGGUUCCGCAUGGAACUGUGGCGAUAGGUCCGCCGGACAAGGAUAGGGAUGCGUCCCAUUAGGCAGUAGGCGGGUAACGGCCCACCUAACCGACGAUGGGUAGGGGUUCUGAGAGGAAGGUCCCCACAUUGGAACUGAGACACGGUCCAAACUCC
rnacentral:rRNA from 1 species